GGAAACACACACGAGCGAGUGACGUAUGUACGCGAUUUAACGCGAAAACCGUCCUGUCAGAUCUAAUAUAUAAACACAGGGACUGCACCAUCCCUACACGUGAACAGAGGCAACAACCCCCACAAUAAUGCACAUGGGAGAUAUAUAUGUUUUGUUUAGGUCAACAGAGCUGUCAAUCAGCACAUCCUGAUGAGGGCUCCAUUGGAUUCGGAUGGCAUUCUGGGAUACGCAGAGACUACAGUGACAGAUGAACUGAUGAAGGCACAUUUCUUCCAGACACCCGAG